AUCAGUAGCCGGACUGAGAGGUUAAUCGGCCCCAUUGGGACUGAGACACGGCCCAGACUCCUACGGGAGGCAGCAGUGGGGAAUAUUGCACAAUGGAGGAAACUCUGAUGCAGCGAUGCCGCGUGAGGGAAGAAGGUUUUAGGAUUGUAAACCUCUGUCUUCAGGGACGAAAAAAGACGGUACCUGAGGAGGAAGCUCCGGCUAACUACGUGCCAGCAGCCGCGGUAAUACGUAGGGAGCGAGCGUUGUCCGGAAUUACUGGGUGUAAAGGGAGCGUAGGCGGGAUCGCAAGUCAGAUGUGAAAACUAUGGGCUUAACCCAUAAACUGCAUUUGAAACUGUGGUUCUUGAGUGAAGUAGAGGUAAGCGGAAUUCCUAGUGUAGCGGUGAAAUGCGUAGAUAUUAGGAGGAACAUCAGUGGCGAAGGCGGCUUACUGGGCUUUAACUGACGCUGAGGCUCGAAAGCGUGGGGAGCAAACAGGAUUAGAUACCCUGGUAGUCCACGCCGUAAACGAUGAUUACUAGGUGUGGGGGGACUGACCCCUUCCGUGCCGCAGCAAACGCAAUAAGUAAUCCACCUGGGGAGUACGACCGCAAGGUUGAAACUCAAAGGAAUUGACGGGGGCCCGCACAAGCAGUGGAGUAUGUGGAUUAAUUCGAAGCAACGCGAAGAACCUUACCAGGUCUUGACAUCGUAUGCAUAGCUCAGAGAUGAGUGAAAUCUCUUCGGAGACAUAUAGACAGGUGGUGCAUGGUUGUCGUCAGCUCGUGUCGUGAGAUGUUGGGUUAAGUCCCGCAACGAGCGCAACCCUUACUGUUAGUUGCUACGCAAGAGCACUCUAGCAGGACUGCCGUUGACAAAACGGAGGAAGGUGGGGAUGACGUCAAAUCAUCAUGCCCCUUAUGACCUGGGCCUCACACGUACUACAAUGGCUGUCAACAGAGGGAAGCAAAGCCGCGAGGUGGAGCAAACCCCUAAAAGCAGUCUUAGUUCGGAUUGUAGGCUGCAACCCGCCUACAUGAAGUCGGAAUUGCUAGUAAUCGCAGAUCAGCAUGCUGCGGUGAAUACGUUCCCGGGCCUUGUACU
rnacentral:rRNA from 1 species